rnacentral:rRNA from 1 species
UACGGAGGGGGCUAGCGUUGUUCGGAUUUACUGGGCGUAAAGCGCACGUAGGCGGAUCGAUCAGUCAGGGGUGAAAUCCCAGGGCUCAACCCUGGAACUGCCUUUGAUACUGUCGAUCUGGAGUAUGGAAGAGGUGAGUGGAAUUCCGAGUGUAGAGGUGAAAUUCGUAGAUAUUCGGAGGAACACCAGUGGCGAAGGCGGCUCACUGGUCCAUUACUGACGCUGAGGUGCGAAAGCGUGGGGAGCAAACAGGG